UUAAUUUAAAGGCAAACUCACUGAAAGGUGACGACGCAAAGCUAUAGGGGCUUCUGUCAUAAGACUUGCCAGCCAGCUACCAUC
rfam:Bacillus bataviensis LMG 21833 contig45, whole genome shotgun sequence.